UACGUAGGGGGCAAGCGUUGUCCGGAUUUAUUGGGCGUAAAGAGCGUGUAGGCGGCCAGAUAGGUCAGCUGUGAAAACUCGAGGCUCAACCUCGAGAUGUCGGCUGAAACCAUCUGGCUAGAGUCCGGAAGAGGAGAAUGGAAUUCCCGGUGUAGCGGUGAAAUGCGCAGAUAUCAGGAAGAACACCCGUGGCUAAGGCGGCUCUCUAGUACGGUACUGACGCUGAGACGCGAAAGCGUGGGGAGCGAACAGG
rnacentral:rRNA from 1 species